rnacentral:rRNA from 1 species
AAUGGGCGGGAGCCUGAACCAGCCAAGUCGCGUGAAGGAAGAAGGAUCUAUGGUUCGUAAACUUCUUUUGCAGGGGAAUAAAGUGCAGGACGUGUCCUGUUUUGUCUGUACCCUGAGAAUAAGGGUCGGCUAACUUCGUGCCAGCAGCCGCGGUAAGACGAAGGACCCAAGCGUUAUCCGGAUUUAUUGGGUUUAAAGGGUGCGUAGGCGGGUUGUUAAGUCAGUGGUGAAAGCCUAGAGCUUAACUCUAGAAUUGCCAUUGAUACUGACGAUCUUGAGGAUAGUUGAGGUGGGCGGAAUGUAUCAUGUAGCGGUGAAAUGCCUAGAGAUGAUACAGAACACCGAUUGCGAAGGCAGCUCACUAAGCUAUUUCUGACGCUGAGGCACGAAAGCGUGGGGAUCAAA